rnacentral:rRNA from 1 species
CCUUCGGUACGGAAUACUCAGGGAAAUUUGUGCAAAUACCGUAUACUUCCUGGGGGAGAAAGAUUUAUCGCCGAAGGAUUAGCCCCCGUCUGAUUACCUAGUUGGUGAGGUAAUGGCUCACCAAGGCGACGAUCAGUAGCUGGUCUGAGAGGAUGACCAGCCGCACUGGGACUGAGACACGGCCCCACUCCUACGGGAGGCAGCACUGGGGAAUAUUGGACAAUGGGCGAAAGCCUGAUCCAGCCAUGCCGCGUGAGUGAUGAAGGCCUUAGGGUUGUAAAGCUCUUUUACCCGGGAAGAUAAUGACUGUACCGGGAGAAUAAGCCCCGGCUAACUUCGUGCCAGCAGCCGCGGAAAUACGAACGGGGCUAGCGUUGUUCGGAAUUACUGGCCGUAAAGCGCGCGUCGGCGGAUUUUUAAGUCAGAGGAGAAAUCCCAGGGCUCAACCACGGAACUGCCUUUGAUACUGGGAAUCUCCCCCUUGGGAGAGGUGAGUGGAACUGCGAGUGUAGAGGUGAGAUUCUUAUAUAUUCGCGAGAACACCAGGGGCGAGGCGGCUCCCUGGCCCACUACUGACUCUGAGGUGCGAAAGCGUGGGGAGCAAACAAGAUUAAAUACCCUG